UUCACCCCUCCAUGAUCACAGAGCAGCUUCACUAGAUAUCCAGUUUAUUUCUGAUCACGAGACUGGCCCGUCAGAGUCUGUGAGGAGACAUGCCUCAAUUCAGCAGCCGGAUAGCAGAGCACCUCCUUCUGAGAUUAGAUUGGCUGAUGAUCAGAUAGAGAUGAUAUCUCAGCAUGUAGCUUUCAUACUAUCUCGUCAGAUGGGCACUUCAACUUUUGC
rnacentral:lncRNA from 1 species